rnacentral:piRNA from 1 species
UUCUACUUCUAGAUCCCUGAGGAAUCACCAC